GAUCAACGCUGGCGGCGUGCCUCAGACAUGCAAGUCGAACGCGAAAGCCCCGCAAGGGGCAAGUAGAGUGGCAAACGGGUGAGUAACACGUGGGUGACCUGCCUUAGAGUGGGGGAUAACGUCCCGAAAGGGACGCUAAUACCGCAUAACAUCCUGCCUUUGAAGAGGUGGAGAUCAAAGCCGGGGACCGCAAGGCCUGGCGCUCAAAGAGGGGCCCGCGCCUGAUUAGCUAGUUGGUGAGGUAAUGGCUCACCAAGGCAACGAUCAGUAUCCGGCCUGAGAGGGCGACCGGCCACACUGGGACUGAGACACGGCCCAGACUCCUACGGGAGGCAGCAGUGGGGAAUCUUGCGCAAUGGGCGAAAGCCUGACGCAGCGACGCCGCGUGAGGGAUGACGGCCU
rnacentral:rRNA from 1 species